AGUGAACGCUGGCGGUAGGCCUAACACAUGCAAGUCGAACGGCAGCACAGUAAGAGCUUGCUCUUACGGGUGGCGAGUGGCGGACGGGUGAGGAAUACAUCGGAAUCUACUUUUUCGUGGGGGAUAACGUAGGGAAACUUACGCUAAUACCGCAUACGACCUACGAGUGAAAGCAGGGGAUCUUCGGACCUUGCGCGAUUGAAUGAGCCGAUGUCGGAUUAGCUAGUUGGCGGGGUAAAGGCCCACCAAGGCGACGAUCCGUAGCUGGUCUGAGAGGAUGAUCAGCCACACUGGAACUGAGACACGGUCCAGACUCCUACGGGAGGCAGCAGUGGGGAAUAUUGGACAAUGGGCGCAAGCCUGAUCCAGCCAUACCGCGUGGGUGAAGAAGGCCUUCGGGUUGUAAAGCCCUUUUGUUGGGAAAGAAAAGCAGCAGGUUAAUACCUCGCUGUUCUGACGGUACCCAAAGAAUAAGCACCGGCUAACUUCGUG
rnacentral:rRNA from 1 species